UACAGAGGGUGCGAGCGUUGUUCGGAAUUAUUGGGCGUAAAGCGCUUGUAGGCAAUCUGUUAAGUCCUGUGUGAAAGCCCUUGGCCUUGAACCAAGGAAGUGGCGCAGGAAACGUGGCCGGACUUGAGUGGCCGGGAGAGGGUCGCGGAAUUCCCGGUAUAGAGGUAGAAAUUCGUAGAUAUCGGGAGGAACACCAGUGGCGAAGGCGGCGACCUGGGCCAAUAUUGACGCUGAGG
rnacentral:rRNA from 1 species